rnacentral:rRNA from 1 species
GGGUUGUGAGGUUAAGCGACUAAGCGUACACGGUGGAUGCCCUGGCAGUCAGAGGCGAUGAAGGGCGUGCUAAUCUGCGAUAAGCGCCGGUAAGGUGAUAUGAACCGUUAUAACCGGCGAUACCCGAAUGGGGAAACCCAGUGUGACUCGUCACACUAUCAUUAACUGAAUCCAUAGGUUAAUGAGGCGAACCGGGGGAACUGAAACAUCUAAGUACCCCGAGGAAAAGAAAUCAACCGAGAUUCCCCCAGUAGCGGCGAGCGAACGGGGAGGAGCCCAGAGCCUGAAUCAGCAUGUGUGUUAGUGGAAGCGUCUGGAAAGGCGCGCGAUACAGGGUGACAGCCCCGUACACAAAAGCGCAUGUGCUGUGAGCUCGAUGAGUAGGGCGGGACACGUGGUAUCCUGUCUGAAUAUGGGGGGACCAUCCUCCAAGGCUAAAUACUCCUGACUGACCGAUAGUGAACCAGUACCGUGAGGGAAAGGCGAAAAGAACCCCGGCGAGGGGAGUGAAAAAGAACCUGAAACCGUGUACGUACAAGCAGUGGGAGCACAGGUUUACCUGUGUGACUGCGUACCUUUUGUAUAAUGGGUCAGCGACUUAUAUUCUGUAGCAAGGUUAACCGUAUAGGGGAGCCGGAGGGAAACCGAGUCUUAACCGGGCGUUAAGUUGCAGGGUAUAGACCCGAAACCCGGUGAUCUAGCCAUGGGCAGGUUGAAGGUUGGGUAACACUAACUGGAGGACCGAACCGACUAAUGUUGAAAAAUUAGCGGAUGACCUGUGGCUGGGGGUGAAAGGCCAAUCAAACCGGGAGAUAGCUGGUUCUCCCCGAAAGCUAUUUAGGUAGCGCCUCGUGAAUUCAUCUCCGGGGGUAGAGCACUGUUUCGGCUAGGGGGCCAUCCCGGCUUACCAACCCGAUGCAAACUGCGAAUACCGGAGAAUGUUAUCACGGGAGACACACGGCGGGUGCUAACGUCCGUCGUGAAGAGGGAAACAACCCAGACCGCCAGCUAAGGUCCCAAAGUCAUGGUUAAGUGGGAAACGAUGUGGGAAGGCCCAGACAGCCAGGAUGUUGGCUUAGAAGCAGCCAUCAUUUAAAGAAAGCGUAAUAGCUCACUGGUCGAGUCGGCCUGCGCGGAAGAUGUAACGGGGCUAAACCAUGCACCGAAGCUGCGGCAGCGAACGUAUCACUUAAAGCGAUUCAGCGGAUGACGAUUGACGGAGCGAAGCGACGUCAAAGCGUAUACAAAGUCGAGUCGGUUUAAGGAUACGUUCGUUGGGUAGGGGAGCGUUCUGUAAGCCUGCGAAGGUGGCCUGUGAGGGUUGCUGGAGGUAUCAGAAGUGCGAAUGCUGACAUAAGUAACGAUAAAGCGGGUGAAAAGCCCGCUCGCCGGAAGACCAAGGGUUCCUGUCCAACGUUAAUCGGGGCAGGGUGAGUCGACCCCUAAGGCGAGGCCGAAAGGCGUAGUCGAUGGGAAACGGGUUAAUAUUCCCGUACUUGGUGUUACUGCGAAGGGGGGACGGAGAAGGCUAUGUUGGCCGGGCGACGGUUGUCCCGGUUUAAGCGUGUAGGUGUGUGUUCCAGGUAAAUCCGGUUCACUUUAACACUGAGGCGUGACGACGAGGCACUACGGUGCUGAAGCAACAAAUGCCCUGCUUCCAGGAAAAGCCUCUAAGCAUCAGGUAACAUCAAAUCGUACCCCAAACCGACACAGGUGGUCAGGUAGAGAAUACCAAGGCGCUUGAGAGAACUCGGGUGAAGGAACUAGGCAAAAUGGUGCCGUAACUUCGGGAGAAGGCACGCUGACAUGUAGGUGAAGUGAUUUACUCAUGGAGCUGAAGUCAGUCGAAGAUACCAGCUGGCUGCAACUGUUUAUUAAAAACACAGCACUGUGCAAACACGAAAGUGGACGUAUACGGUGUGACGCCUGCCCGGUGCCGGAAGGUUAAUUGAUGGGGUCAGCGCAAGCGAAGCUCCUGAUCGAAGCCCCGGUAAACGGCGGCCGUAACUAUAACGGUCCUAAGGUAGCGAAAUUCCUUGUCGGGUAAGUUCCGACCUGCACGAAUGGCGUAAUGAUGGCCAGGCUGUCUCCACCCGAGACUCAGUGAAAUUGAACUCGCUGUGAAGAUGCAGUGUACCCGCGGCAAGACGGAAAGACCCCGUGAACCUUUACUAUAGCUUGACACUGAACAUUGAGCCUUGAUGUGUAGGAUAGGUGGGAGGCUUUGAAGUGUGGACGCCAGUCUGCAUGGAGCCGACCUUGAAAUACCACCCUUUAAUGUUUGAUGUUCUAACGUGGACCCGUAAUCCGGGUUGCGGACAGUGUCUGGUGGGUAGUUUGACUGGGGCGGUCUCCUCCUAAAGAGUAACGGAGGAGCACGAAGGUUGGCUAAUCCUGGUCGGACAUCAGGAGGUUAGUGCAAUGGCAUAAGCCAGCUUGACUGCGAGCGUGACGGCGCGAGCAGGUGCGAAAGCAGGUCAUAGUGAUCCGGUGGUUCUGAAUGGAAGGGCCAUCGCUCAACGGAUAAAAGGUACUCCGGGGAUAACAGGCUGAUACCGCCCAAGAGUUCAUAUCGACGGCGGUGUUUGGCACCUCGAUGUCGGCUCAUCACAUCCUGGGGCUGAAGUAGGUCCCAAGGGUAUGGCUGUUCGCCAUUUAAAGUGGUACGCGAGCUGGGUUUAGAACGUCGUGAGACAGUUCGGUCCCUAUCUGCCGUGGGCGCUGGAGAACUGAGGGGGGCUGCUCCUAGUACGAGAGGACCGGAGUGGACGCAUCACUGGUGUUCGGGUUGUCAUGCCAAUGGCACUGCCCGGUAGCUAAAUGCGGAAGAGAUAAGUGCUGAAAGCAUCUAAGCACGAAACUUGCCCCGAGAUGAGUUCUCCCUGAGACUUAGAGUCUCCUGAAGGAACGUUGAAGACGACGACGUUGAUAGGCCGGGUGUGUAAGCGCAGCGAUGCGUUGAGCUAACCGGUACUAAUGAACCGUGAGGCUUAACCUUACAACGCCGAAG